UGACGGUACCUGACUAAGAAGCCCCGGCUAACUACGUGCCAGCAGCCGCGGUAAUACGUAGGGGGCAAGCGUUAUCCGGAUUUACUGGGUGUAAAGGGAGCGUAGACGGCUUGGCAAGUCUGAAGUGAAAGCCCGGGGCUCAACCCCGGAACUGCUUUGGAAACUGUUGAGCUGGAGUGCAGGAGAGGUAAGCGGAAUUCCUAGUGUAGCGGUGAAAUGCGUAGAUAUUAGGAGGAACACCAGCGGCGAAGGCGGCUUACUGGACUGUAACUGACGUUGAGGCUCGAAGGCGUGGGGAGCAAACAGGAUUAGAUACCCUG
rnacentral:rRNA from 1 species